CUCCUGCUUCAGCACGUGUUGCUGGAUGCAUCGCUUUAGCGCUUCAGAAUCUGUCGAUGGAAUGCACUUGCGCUGGCGAUUUUGGCGACACCGUUUGUUGCACCUGAUCGCACGAGAAAAAAAUCAAGUGCUGGGUAAGGUGUUUCAACCGAGCUCAUAAAUCAACGUGACGGCACCGUCGGUUAUCGUUUUUGUCCACCCAGUCAAGCACCUAUAGAACCAGAUGCACCUUCACACCAGACCUAACCCGACAACGGUUAGUUCACGAUAAAUGUAAGCACUUCGUGUCCAGAGAAAUCGAAUUGCAAAUUGUGAACGCCAAAUAAAUACUUCGCCGAUGCAACUUACUUGGACCAGGGUGACCAAGGAGAUAAUUCUUCGCUGGGGGUCGAACUAACUUUGGUUGCAUUGUUGUUAUGACUGCCAUUAAUAUUCCUGUUCCUGUUGGCGAUGGUCGUCCCGUUCUGCUCAAGGAGACUGGCUGGUAAGAGACAAAUCGAAAUUGACCGGUUAAAAGGCGAGGACGACAGUGCGGAAGGGUUGAAGGCGAAGGCGUAAGUUGACACGUCUUUCACGCUUGGCAGCCGAAUAAUGUGCAGUACGUACCUUCAACUCUUUUGUUGCGAUGGUGAUUGCGGUGCUGAUGCUGGCGAAGUGGUUUCGCCAUCUGGACACCCGAGCCGUUGGCCGUUGCGGGAUGACUGAUGGCGGUCGGUUUUCUCUUCCAUUCGGUGCUGUUCUGUUGGACGUAACAAACGACAAGACCAUACAAAUUUAUACAGUACCCAGAGCACAGACGCAAAUUGCAGAAUGAUCAAAUGCGAUGAUAAAUCAUCGAUGAAAUUUUAGACAGUGAGUGUGGUCGCAUAGACUGCAAUCACGGUGACUGACAUUUCUUUGAUUCCCACCAAAUUGGUGACACAGAGCAACCGUGUUCCUGAUGGACAUGGAUUAUUCAAACCAUAUAUUUUUCACGCAACUGAACUAGAAUAGGAGCUCUAACACAUAAUAGCUUCUCGUGCACUGCAAUUUCACUUUCAGUGCCGUUAUAGCAGAUGUUUCACGUGGGCGAAGAUGAAAUUUCAGCAUCAGCAUCGGUUUUCGUCCUCAACUCUUAAGUCUAUUUGCUGUUUUUAUAAUUAUGACAGCUGAAGGUGGAGUACGCGAAGAACGUGUGUAUCGAUGACGGUACAAAUGAGAGAGCUUUCAUGCUCCUGCGUCAGCACAAUAUGCUCACAAUAGGUCCACUUUCAUUUUGAAUCCCGCUGAGCCAGCGAAGAAACGAGGCCAUUAGAAGGCUAAAAACCAAGUGUAGUACAUUAAAGAAAAUUCGUUUUCCUCACACAGGCACGAUCAUGGGGUCGUGCCUGUGUUUAUUUGGUUGAAUUUUAUUGUGGAUCAAACUCUCGAGUAACAUUAUUGCUCAGAAACUUGAGUUGUUGCUCUUUGUCGGCCUGCGAUGAGUGGGGGCUAGCCUCUACAUGAAGGCAAAAGAGACACAUCGGCUGUGAUGGGUGCACAUUCACCGCUAUUCUGUAUGGGAAAUUGCCCCCUUAUGUAUUCAUAUUUUAUUUGACAUGACUAUUUGGUUUCUUUAAGUCAUGUUCUUCGGUUUACGGGAAGCUGGACAAAAGGGCAAACGAUACCUGUAACUUCUUUUACCUCUGACCUUUCGAAUACCAGCUCGUUUUUGUAUUAUUAUUAUUAUUAUUUUUUUUUUACUUUUUAUUUUUUGUGAAGAAAAUAGAUCGUCAACUUAGUCCUAUUUGACUACUUCAUUUUUACCAGUGCGACUUGUUGCUGCAUCUUGUGACUCCAAUCGAUCGCCUACGGAAAUGUUUCAUCGAAACAGUUGAAUGGUAGCCACGACACUGGGACUCGAGAUGUCCUUUCCUUUGUAAAACUGGUGCAGGACGAAAGACAAAGUCUUUUCCCUUUUUCUUUUUUAAAAAAUCAUAAUUACAGCCAUUACAAUUUUUACAUCCCACUUUUGCUAGUGUAGCGGAGACCGGGGCUACUUGGCUCACUUUUUUUUUAGAAGCUUCCCAUCACUGUUAAAAAAGUCAUUCGUUUUUCGAACGAAAAAACCUUCGAAUUGUCAACAACCCAGAUCGAAGGUUAAUAACCUUCGAAAACUGAAUUAGUUUACACGUUUCGAUUUACGCCAAACGAAACUUUCAUUUUUCGAAGUAUUUAAACCUUCGAAAAAUGCACAGCGGUUGUAGAGUACCUAGACUUAAAUGCGAAAAACAAGUCUUUGGUGAGGUUUGAACACUGUACCUCAACAUCAACAGUCACCCGCUCUGCCCACUAAUCUACUUAUUGUUAUUAACAAAAUUAUUAUUUUGCUAUGUAUAUUGGGGAUUCGAAUAAGGACUUAGAAAUUUUUUUUUUGUUUCCUCACAAAAAUGUGAGGUAAUUGAGAAAUGUGAGUGUGUAAGGUAAUGUAGGCGACGGGAAAUUGAAAUAAAAGUAUGAAAGCAC
rnacentral:lncRNA from 1 species